AAUAAGUGGUUAUGUCAAAAAAAAUUGGAAGGUGAUUAACACAAGCUUGAUUAACCUUCUGGUUUUUAUUACAUAGUUUUCACAUUCCUCACAAGUUAGACAACCCUGAUUUUUAUCUGCUUUCUACUGUUUUUAUGAGUCAUAUUGAACAUUUGAAUAAUUGUGUUUGUAAAAAUUGCAUCUGAGGGAGGAGAAUGGAACCUCAUUUAAGUUGCCAAGAUGCCCUAUUCUGAAAACCUUUCCAGCAACUUUGUUCAGCCCCAGACCCAAGCUUAAGUUGUAUCUCUUCCAGGCCCUUCUAACAAUUUCUGAACUGUCAAUGUUAGGAGGAACAAGCACAGCAGUGACUGUAUCACUGUACCAUUCCUCCUUUUGGGUGCAAUUUUUCAAGCCCCAUGCUUCCAUAGCAAGUCUGCGUUCAGUGCAAUAGUGCAUGCAAGUUUGAUAUAUAUGUCAGUAGAUUGACAUUAACCGACCAUUGUGAUGCAACAUGAGAGUAGUACCCUAAUUGUGGAAAGAUUUUAUAAUUUUUUAGAAACAAGAACCAAAUCAAAUCGCUUCCAUAGGCAAUCAAGCUAUUUCAGUUUAACAAAAUUCAAGUGCUUCAACAUUUCUAUCUAAGCCAAUACCUUGUUGCUUUGGCUAAGCGAGCAUGCCUGGCAAAUACAUUCUCAAGUCCUUCCUCAAAUAUGAGAUCCAAAGCUGCUCUUAGACCAUAUAGAAGAUGAAUGGAUGGAGUGUAUGGCCAAUAUGUUCCCAACUUAUAGAACUUCAGGUAGUCCUUCCAGUCAAAGAAGACUCUAACAGAUUUUGCUGUUUUGGAAGCCUCAAGAGCCUUGGGGCUUGCACAAACGAUUCCUAUGCCAGUUGGGAG
rnacentral:lncRNA from 1 species